AACCAAGGUGGAUUCCUCCGGAUCACAGUCAUUCCAAGCCUUUAGAACUGAGGGGCACAAACUCCGCCGGAGAGCAGGCUCCAUAAUUGUUCCAUCUUGUAGGAGCGCCCAGAGGCCCUCCCUCUAGCGGCCGGUCAGAGGAAACACUCGUUCAUCUGUUGCUUCUUGUAUGUGACCUGACCAAAGAUCAAACCUGCAACCUUGAUGUAUCAGGAGGAUGCUCUGAACAACUGACCUACCCAGCCAGGACCAAUCCAGAUUUGACACAAUUUACCCAAAUCCUCUAGGAUAUUGAUGAAGGGAGCACUAUUAAGAGUUUAUACUAUGGAAGCAAAUGAAAAAAUAUACGAACAGAAUUUUUCCACUCAAGAUAAGUAAUUUUUCUUAAACUGAUUUUUUUUUCACAUGCAAUGGUUGGAAAUAUUACUAGAAGCUUGGUUACUAUAAAGUGCAUAAACUGAUUGGUACCAGUGUUUUCAAUGAACUCUCAGACUACAUUCCACAUUUCUUGUUUCCUUAGUAUGCCUGCUUUGUUUUAAGUGUGUCAUGUUCUGGCACUCCACACAUAUAUAUCUCUGAAUCCUAAUCUUGUAUUGUUGCCAAGAUGAAAUGAGCUAGGGACAAAUUCCUCUCUAGGAGAGAAACAUGAAUAUAUUUCAAAUUGCAAUGAGCUCUAACAAGCAAUUAGCCUAUGGUCAUUAUUUUGUGCAU